AGCCCCGAGUUGGUUUGGGCAGUUGUGAUCCCUGCCUGCAGCAGCCUGGGGGGAAUCCACGUGCAGGGUCUGGCAGCAAAGAAGGGAAAUGCAGGGACAGGUGACAAAAACCAAGCAGAAAAACUGCCUGAGCCUGCAGGAGGAAGCUGUUCCAUGAAAUCCCUUCCCUGUGGGUCCAGCAGGGACCAAACCUUCCCUUGGGAUCCAGGUGCCACCAGCGGAAGCUGAAGAUUUUGGCACAAGCCAGCCGUGAACUUCAGGGAGCUCACGAGGAACUGCCAAGUUCCCAGGAGGGAAUAUCGCGCUGGCUAAGGAGGAGCUGCGCUCACGCAAACCCCGCUUGAGAUGCUUCCAACCUGAUGCACAAUCCUUCUUCCUCACGUUGUUAUUUUACGGGUAGGAAAACCAGCAUCAGUAAACCCACACUUUUUAGCCCAGA